UGAGCUGACCUUUCAAGUAGAACUAGAGUUUAUCCCGCACAUCGUGCGGGUAUAUUUUCAUUUUAUAAAUAUUUAAUUUUGAUAUUAUUAUACAAAUGUAAAUAUACAAUUUAUAUCUUAGUGUUAUGUAUUUUAUAACUCUUUAAUUUUAUUGUUUAGGUUUCUUAUUACUUUAUUAAUAUAUGGGUUUGUUUUAUACAUAUUACCUUUUUAUUACGUUUUCGAGUUUUCAUAAUUCGAAAUAAUCAAAUAAAAAAUAUUCUUCAACAUAUGAUUUUUGAAAAUAUAUAGCUGUAGAAAUAAAUUUUUAACAUAUGUUAAUAACUUCAUUUGUAUAAAAAAAAAUCUGACAUGAUUAACAAAUUUGAAUCCGUUUUAGUGGUAGAUGGUAAUUUAUUUAAAUGAAAGCAUUAUAUUACUUAAUUACAAAAUUAAUUAAUGCAAUAUUUAAUAAAAAUUAUUU
rnacentral:lncRNA from 1 species